rnacentral:lncRNA from 1 species
GUCUCCCUACUUGACACCUUGCAUGAGAUCGGUGUGAUAGUGAUGACCCUAGUCACAGGGUAUCCUCCGAUGACGAGGAUUGGAUUAUACUCGCAUAGUCUGUUCAGCGCUUGUGGCGGUCGCUCCGCACAAGUAGUGCGCUCCGGAGUUUGGCACGUGUGAAUUGGGAUAGCCUAUUUGGGGUCCCUGAGACGGUCCCUCGGUUGGUUCGAGUCCUCCGAUAUAGAGGGAUUUUGAGAUGUGAGUCGAGGGCGCACCUACGAGUCAGCCAGAAGAUUGGGUAAAGAACUCAUGAGAAUUAUGCACAUUGAGCAUAUUGAGCAUAG